UAUGUUUUUAAUAAGAAAAGAAAUGCAAUGGUCAAAGUAAAAAAACAAGAAAAAAAGGAAUAUAAAAAGGUGAUUUUGGGGCUGUUUUCAGGUUUAGAGAGAGAGAGAGAGAGAGAGAGAGAGAGAGAGAGAGAGAGAGAGAGAGAGAGAGAGAGAGAGAGAGAUUUAAGGGGCAGGACCACCUAACACCAAUGCCCAACCCCCUCACCCUCUGAAGACACACUAAUGCACAUUUACUUUCUCUCACUUUGGCUCUCAGUGCCUCUGUCCAGACUGCUGCUUCAGACCUCACCGCCCUUUCCAUUUAAGCCAACUUUAAGCCACACUUCUGAGGGUGUGAGCCAGCAUUUCAUCCACAGCCUGCUGUACUUUCAGGAGUCUCUUAAUUUGUUAAAGUUUAAGUUGGAGAAAAGUGACCAACAGUGACCAUGAUGAGGAUCAUACUGCUGUUGCUGGUCACCCUGGCGGGGCCUUUCUGUAUCUUUACCCAAGCAAGUACUCUGAUGGUGCCAACAGCUGUUACUGCAACUACAGAAUCAAAUCGUGUAGAAAAUCAGACUGAUUUCCCUGCUGAAAAAGAGGGAUCAACUCCUCAAGAUGCGGUCUCAACGUCACUGCCUGCUCCUGAGGCAACAGAAGCAACUAACGCAACAGAACUUACAGUGGUUUCCACAACACCACCAGUAUUACAAUCAGAAGCCCAAACAGAUACAUCACAAUCAACAGAAGCUGGACCUAAAGAGACAAAGAGCCCUGAAGCCUCUACUGUCACUAAAGAGGCAGGAGCAGAAACUGGGAAAGCUAAAGAAACAGCGACUCCAUCAGAGACUCCACAUGUAGAGGUGGAGACUGAAGGUAUGGGCACAGGACAGUUGGUGGGGAUCGUAUUUGGCGCUUUGAUCACAGUGAUUGUUGUCAUUGCUAUUAUCAUCUUGGUGGCCAGAAGAAUGGGCCAAUACUCACCCUAAAAAGAAAGGCCCGACAGGACGAGAAGAAGAAGAAAUUCUGGAAGUUAUGAACUAUUGUUCUGAUGUUUAAAACAAUGCAAGCAGCACUCUCACCACCCAUCCAGGACUUACACGGGGAGCAGGAGAGUGUCCCAUCCCCUUUCCCAUUGAAAAAAUGCCCUCCCCUUUUUUUGUCACCCUGAAAUCCUCAUUUAUCUCUCAACAGGGGAGGCCAGAGGAUGUUACAGUAUAUAUUUUUAAUGCAUAUUAAUUUAACGGGAGAUGAAUGAAUAUGGAGUUUGUGAAGGGCCUAAUAAACAAAAACAAAGAAACA
ensembl:lncRNA